rnacentral:rRNA from 1 species
GUAGGUGGCUAAGCGUUGUCCGGAAUUAUUGGGCGUAAAGCGCGCGCAGGCGGUUCUUUAAGUCUGAUGUGAAAGCCCACGGGCUCAACCGUGGAGGGUCAUUGGAAACUGGAGAACUUGAGUACAGAGGAGGAAAGCGGAAUUCCACGUGUAGCGGUGAAAUGCGUAGAGAUGUGGAGGAACACCAGUGGCGAAGGCGGCUUUCUGGUCUGUAACUGACGCUGAGGCGCGAAAGCGUGGGGAGCAAACAGGAUUAGAUACCCUGGUAGUCCACGCCGUAAACGAUGAGUGCUAAGUGUUAGGGGGUUUCCGCCCCUUAGUGCUGCAGCUAACGCAUUAAGCACUCCGCCUGGGGAGUACGGCCGCAAGGCUG